CUCCAAGUGGCGUAGUUGGUUUAAUGCGUUCGGCUGUGAACUGAAAGAUCACCUGUUUGGUUCAGGUCUAGGAGA